GCCUCAUGUCAUGUGUAGUUUUGCUCUGUUCUGUGCUGUCCUGGAUCUGUAACCCAUUGGAUUAUUUCUGUUGGAUAACUCUGUUCUUUUGGAUUAUUUCACCUUGCUUACUUUGGACUCAGCCACUCUACUUGCUCGGCUGUUGCUCUGUUGGUUCAGCAGGUUCAGAAAACAGAGCCCAGCAGUUUGACACCAACAAAGGCCUUUUUGUGAAGCAGGGAUCGAGUUGAAGAAAGGACAAGGAGGUCUGCUACUCGAGCCUUGUACCUCCCCUGAGCGGUAAGUGUUGGACGUUCGAGUCAGUCAGUGUGAGACAGUCUGACGGUGCAGAGGGCAAACGGAGACUCUGGGUCAGACAGAGGGGAGCCAGAGUUGAUGCUGCAUCCCCGAGUCCCCGACUGACCUCCUGAUAAGCGGAUUCAGUCUUCACGGCGCAAUCGUAAAGGCUGAUGGCCGAUGCUCCACUUAAAUUCCAGAGGGACAAACUGCUGCGAUUUUGAUUCUGAUUAUUCAUUAAAUCAGCAGCAGCAGUGGGAACAGCACCUCCUGUUCUCGAGUGCACAAAGACGAAUUUCAGUUGUUGCCAUAGUUCUCUCACGUCUCCUCACUUCUGCAUC